UACGUAGGUGGCAAGCGUUGUCCGGAAUUAUUGGGCGUAAAGCGCGCGCAGGUGGUUCUUUAAGUCUGAUGUGAAAUCUCGCGGCUCAACCGCGAGCGGUCAUUGGAAACUGGGGAACUUGAGUGCAGAAGAGGAAAGUGGAAUUCCACGUGUAGCGGUGAAAUGCGUAGAGAUGUGGAGGAACACCGGUGGUGAAGGCGGCAUCCUGGACCGAGAUUGACGCUGAUGCGCGAAAGCCGGGGGAGCAAACGGG
rnacentral:rRNA from 1 species